CGGCCCCGGCGGGGGAAAGGCGGCGCGGCAGCAGCAGACGCAGCACCCGCCGCCGGCCCUGCAGAGACCCUGGGAGAAGCUGCGCCUGGAGGAGCGCGAGGCGGAGAAGGAGGCGAGGAAAGUCAGCAAGAGCAUCGACCGGGCGCUCAAAGAGCAGAAGCGGGAGUACAAGCAGACGCACCGCCUGCUGCUACUGGUUUUAUGGCAUAUGUCAUUGAAAGUAUUUCAGAGGAACUGAGCAGUUUUAUCUUCCACCAACUUCACCUGGAGUCAAAUGGUCAACACUGAAGAAGACUUAUGCACACAAGUGUUACGUUUCAUACUCAGAAUACAUCAAUU
ensembl:lncRNA